GAUGAACGCUAGCUACAGGCUUAACACAUGCAAGUCGAGUGACCGGCGCACGGGUGAGUAACACGUAUCCAACCUUCCCUUUACUCGGGGAUAGCCUUUCGAAAGAAAGAUUAAUACCCGAUAUAAAGGAUGGGGAUGCGGUCCAUUAGGUUGUUGUUGAGGUAACGGCCCACCAAGCCUUCGAUGGAUAGGGGUUCUGAGAGGAAGGUCCCCCACAGUGGAACUGAGACACGGUCCAAACUCCUACGGGAGGAAGCAGUGAGGAAUAUUGGUCAAUGGGCGGUAGCCUGAACCAGCCAAGUAGCGUGAAGGAUGAAGGCUUAUGGGUCGUAAACUUCUUUUAUAUAAGAAUAUGUAUUAUAUGAAUAAGGAUCGGCUAACUCCGUGCCAGCCGCCGCGGUAAUAC
rnacentral:rRNA from 1 species